UUACAUAGAGUUAACUACAAAAUUCGUUUCAUUAAAACUUUGUUUAAAAAUUUUUAAUUCUAUCAAAGCAUUGGUAACGAAUAUGAAAACCAGGGGAAGCAAUAAUAGUUUCUUAACCUUUCUACAGCAGUUCAGGAGCUGGAAUUCGCACCUAACGCUAGUUCAAACUGCUAGGAUUGGUCGCGCUACCUGGGACUCUUUGACUGCCCAAGAAAAAUUGGUUUACCGUAUCGUCGACGAGAGUCCCGGGAACGCAGGUGCGGAUUGCGGCCCCUGUAAGAAAACAACAAAAAAGGCCGCCUGCGCGAAAAAGAAGAAAAAGGGCUGUGGACAGAAAAAGAAAACAAAUGCGGGUCGUAAAGGGAAGAAGCGUAAGCCAAAGCGCAAGGUCUGCGUGAAGCGCAAGGUUUGCACGACGCGCAAGAAAAUCUGCUGAUAACAAUCAACAAUUAAUACUGGAAGUAAAAGAAAUGGUGGAAAAUAAGAUCUAAUGCUUCCAGUCUGUACCACCACCACCACCACCAGCACCACCACUAAAAAUCCACAUAUCUUGAUGCUACAUAUUCACCAUUUACCAGGCAAAAGCUAAAUAACUCUCAAGGUGGAUGAUAGCUAAAUGUGUAACGUGCAACCUAAAGGAUCCUUAUUUUUAUGUGCCAGCCAAAAACCAAAAAACAUUUCCUCAAACAUUGUAAGAUAGAAGUACCCAAAAUAUUUAUUUCAAGAAAAAAAAUGUUUAAUUAAAAUAAAAUGUCCCCUUAUAAAACAUUGUAUGGAGCCACAAUGUUUUGGACAACAAAACCUUAUAA